GCUAGUCGUGCGCCUCCAGCCACGGUGGAGGCGCGGCGCACAGCUCAGUAACACGUGGCUAACCUGCCCUUGGGACGGGGAUAACCCCGGGAAACUGGGGCUAAUCCCCGAUAGGUGAGGACGCCUGGAAUGGGUCCUUGCCGAAAGGGCGCCUAGACCAUGCUUCUAGGCGCUGCCCAAGGAUGGGGCCGCGGCCGAUCAGGUAGUUGGUGAGGUAACGGCUCACCAAGCCUAUAACCGGUACGGGCCGUGGGAGCGGGAGCCCGGAGAUGGACACUGAGACAAGGGUCCAGGCCCUACGGGGCGCAGCAGUCGCGAAACCUCCGCAAUACGCGAAAGCGUGACGGGGUCACCCCGAGUGCCGCCCGCUGAGGGUGGCUUUUCCCCAGUGUAGCCAGCUGGGGGAAUAAGGGGAGGGCAAGUCGGGUGUCAGCCGCCGCGGUAAUACCAGCUCCGCGAGUGGUCGGGACGGUUAUUGGGCCUAAAGCGCCCGUAGCCGGCCCGGUAAGUCCCUCCUUAAAGCCCCGGGCCCAACCCGGGGACGGGGGGGAUACUGCCGGGCUAGGGGGCGGGAGAGGCCGGCGGUACUCCC
rnacentral:rRNA from 1 species